CUUGUUACGAGAUAAUCAGAAGGGGGUAACUAGAAUAUUUUCCCUUCGGCAUAAAAACGUUAUGAUAACCUUUCUUCAGGUCAGAGUAACUUUAACAACCAUGACCACACAAUUUUUCCCCAAAAGUAACUGAUGUAAGAGUCCUCAAAAUCGGAAGCAGGAGCCUAGGGUACGGAAAUAUAUGGAAGAAAGGGGGUGGCUGGAAGAGUACGAAUUUGAGGAAAUAAAAGAAAAGUAUGUGGUCUUACAGCUCAAGUGGUAGAUAUGCCCAAAGCGAAGAUGUCAGAGGGAAUACAACCCGGAAAGUUCCUCUGUUCUUUCCUAUUGGCCUUUAAGCAAGCACAUAGAGGAAAUAAAAUGUCCGGAUUUUUGAAGAGCUUGCCCUACCAAAGUACAAAGAAAAGAAGCCAACACUUGAAAAACGACAGGAACUACCCAUUUGCAGGUAUUCCAAAAUUUUCUGCAACACUCAGCCAAAAAAUAUCAUAUUUGCUCAUCAAGUCUGAUGUGGAAGGAGGGGAUACCAAAAAGAAGGAAGGAGGGGUUACCAAAAAGAAGGAAGGAGGGAGGACAGACAUAGAGAAAGCAUGCCCAUUAUCCAUGCAUAUACUUUUAUGGUGAUAAGAUGAAGCUUAGCAAAGAAGCGACAAUAAACUUGGGCAAUUUCAGGUCAAUAAUAAGAUGAAUGACAUAAGGACUACCCAUGCGAAAAUAGUAAGAACCUUUCCACUGUUUUCUUUUUUCUUUAGACCAGCGGUGGGUUCGGAAAAUAAAUGAGGAUGGAUUUGGCAUUUAACAGAGAGUGUGGAUAUAAGUUCAUUUGCUUUUCUCUUCUCAAGUAUUUAGGUUUACUAUGCUCGUGGUUGAAAAACAAAUUCAUGUAAACUAAUGUUAAAUGAGCGAACUUGGGCCUUUCGGACUUAACAUAACCACAAGAUGAGUGGCAUAUAAAUAAGGAUGUUGAAAUGGAUGUGUAAUUAUAAGAUUAAACAGAAUUAGAAAGAGAAAAGACAUAAGUUGCCCAUCAAACUUGUCCGAAAAAAUCAUUUACAGGGCUUAACUUUACGGGCGACCUAUGUCCCCCUUAUUUUUGUUUGAGGUGAAUUUAAUACCACCCUAAAUGGUGACGUGGCAAAGGCAGUAGUUUCACUCUCCCAAACUCGCGUGUAAGAGGGGAAAAGAUUAAAAUUAGAUACAUAUUUUUACUGUGUCCGUCCCUUUUUCUUUUAUACUACUUCUUUCUUAUUUUAUUCUCUUUUUUGUUUUCUCUCUCUACCUUUUCUUCUUCUCUUUACCAUCAUUUCUCUUUUCCCACCCAAGACACCACCGUAUCUCCGCCAUACACCAUUGUAUCUGCCACCAUCCCCUCUUCCUUUUUUUCUUUUUUCUUCUUUUUCUCUUCUACUUUUUCUUUACCCGAGUAGAAGUACUCUCCACCACCUUUCAGCAAUAGCAGUACAACCUGUACUUCCCACACCCAUAUAUAGCCAUAUUGAUUCCAUUCACCAACUUCUCCUAGCUACAAAAAUCCUUUGUUUAUGAUUUAUUUAUUGUAAUAUUUCGUUGAACAAAAUUAAAUAAAUGGUUUAGUCUGGCCUCUUGAAAAGAUUGUUGUGUUUUUUUUCUUAAAAGAGUAAUAGUGCAGAUGCUGAAAUCAUUAGCUAACUUUAUGUUUGCUUGUACCAUGAUUCUUGUAUUUCACUUUAUUUGAGUUGAAUUCCAGAUGAUACAUAUUAGUUUACUUGGCGUCAAGUUAUGAGCUUGAGAUUUUUGUAAAAUAUUUCCAACUAAAGGGUCUUUUGAAAGAGGGAAGAGCAUAGAAUGGCCUAAGGAUCAAUAGCUCACUUUGAAGCCAUUGAUAAUUACAGUUUAUUGAAAUUUGAAAGUGCUUUUCUGUUUGAACAUAAAUUUUGCCGAAGCUUGAGGGUUUUUAAUUGGUUGAAAAGUUGGGUUUUCCGGCAUCAAUUUUCCGACGACGAGUUUUUCCCCUACUUUUUAAAGCUGAAAAUGAUGGAUCUUCCAUGGUGGUGUAGGUGGUUGAAGAUGAUAUGAAAAAAGAUUUGAAAAAGUAACGAAAUAAGUGAAAAUAAAAUAAAAUAAAGCAGCUUUUGACACGUGGCGCGUGUGUAAUACACAGCCCACCACAAGACUGAUUAUGUGUUAUCAAGGGGGUAUUAAAUUCACCUAAAACAAAAAUAAGGGGGACAUAGGUCGCCCGUAAAGUUAAGGUGUGUAAAUGAUUUUUUUCAGACAAGUUUGAUGGGCAACUUAUGUCUUUUCUCAAUUAGAAAUCAGCACAUUUGACAGAGGGUGCA
rnacentral:lncRNA from 1 species